ACACAUGCAAGUCGAACGAGAAUCUACUGAAAGAGUUUUCGGACAAUGGAUGUAGAGGAAAGUGGCGGACGGGUGAGUAACGCGUGAGGAACCUGCCUUGAAGAGGGGGACAACAGUUGGAAACGACUGCUAAUACCGCAUGACGCAUAGAGGUCGCAUGAUCUAUAUGCCAAAGAUUUAUCGCUUCAAGAUGGCCUCGCGUCUGAUUAGCUGGUUGGCGGGGUAACGGCCCACCAAGGCGACGAUCAGUAGCCGGACUGAGAGGUUGAACGGCCACAUUGGGACUGAGAUACGGCCCAGACUCCUACGGGAGGCAGCAGUGGGGAAUAUUGGGCAAUGGGCGCAAGCCUGACCCAGCAACGCCGCGUGAAGGAAGAAGGCUUUCGGGUUGUAAACUUCUUUUAAGAGGGAAGAGCAGAAGACGGUACCUCUAGAAUAAGCCACGGCUAACUACGUGCCAGCAGCCGCGGUAAUACGUAGGUGGCAAGCGUUGUCCGGAUUUACUGGGUGUAAAGGGCGUGCAGCCGGGUCUGCAAGUCAGAUGUGAAAUCCAUGGGCUCAACCCAUGAACUGCAUUUGAAACUGUGGAUCUUGAGUGUCGGAGGGGCAAUCGGAAUUCCUAGUGUAGCGGUGAAAUGCGUAGAUAUUAGGAGGAACACCAGUGGCGAAGGCGGAUUGCUGGACGAUAACUGACGGUGAGGCGCGAAAGCGUGGG
rnacentral:rRNA from 1 species